CUAAAUUCAUUGGCCCAAGGGAAACAAUAUAAAAACCAAGUACCAUUAGCCUCUGAGGCUAAAGAGGAAGACAUGGCAGAUAGACGCAGGGCGCCCACACAGCUACUGUAGAAAUUUUAUGGAUAUCGGAGCAGCUUACAUCGACGGUUCUGAGCAGCUGGCAGCUACAAGGGAGUUGCUCAUUGCAAUUUCUAACCUGGUUGGUGAUCAGGUCUGUGAUCUGAGUUUCGUGCCUGUAGAUGGUGUUGUAGUUUCAAAUGCUGAUGUAUCUGAUGAGCAGUACCGGUCUGAACUGAUUUCUAUUUCCAAUGUGGAGUCCCAUGAUAUAUAAAUACAAGUGUACAACUCAUGAGCUUCCCCUGGGAAGCCAUAAAGAUUACCAAAGCCAGGUUUCCCUCCAGUUUUAUCAACUACAUUCAUAGAUUUAGUUAUUUCAGUCAUUUCUCAUAUCAAAUGUAACUUAAUAGACACCUGGUGUCAUUAGUGUGAUAAACCGUAUAAGGAUAAUGAUGAAUGGUAAUGGUUCUUGGUUUCUCCA